AAAACAGAAGAUAAUGUCUUGUGAUUAAUUUAGCAAAACCUUAGCCAGGGUAAUCCCAGUAAGGAGUCACGGGAUAUCUAAAGUUAAUCACAUAAUGGAUGUACUAAUUAUAGGGUUGACAGUGAGCUCUAAGUUAUUCUGGCAUUAGGAGUCAAAGGGAUUGAAUUAUAUAGUAACCAUAGUUCAGGGUUCCAGAAUAUUUGCUUCGCAUAUAUUCGGCCUAUCCGGACGUCGGGUACCAUUGCUAGAUGGUCACAUCGAUUAGUGU
rnacentral:lncRNA from 1 species